UCCUAAGGGCUGGCAUCACUUUUCCAGCUCUGCCCUUGAAAGAACCUAGUGGGGAAACCCCCACUCAAUUCCCGAUUAGGCGUGCACCCAAAAAUCAUGAACAGACGA
rnacentral:pre_miRNA from 7 species